CGAUUGGUGAGCUCUAUGAGGCUUGUUGCCCAUUGGCUGAGUCGCCGGAGCGUGGCCCCCCUCCGCGCCGCCGUUUCCUUGGCAACCAAGGCCUGGAAGAGUAACUCAGGCUGAUGCCUCCCCCAGCUCCCUGCGCUGGGGGCAGGGCGCCCUGAAAGAGAGUACCCGGCCUCGCUCCAGGGCUGAAGGGACACACACUGCCACCUAGGGUGGUGGGAUGGAUACCUCCUCAGUUGGCAUCAUUUUGAACCCAGAGCGUGGCAGAAGAGGAUCCUGAAGAUGAAGGCAGCAAGGCCUGGUGGGAAGCCGGCACCUGCCCUGUGGACUCUUAGCGCCAGGGUUAUGAGCGCCUUACAUAAAGACACACAUUCUAUGGUGUGGAACAAUGAAGAAUGGAUAUGUGAGUGUGGAA